GACGAACGCUGGCGGCGUGCUUAACACAUGCAAGUCGAACGGUAAGGCCCUUCGGGGUACGACGAGUGGCGAACGGGUGAGUAACACGUGGGUGAUCUGCCCUGCACUUCGGGAUAAGCCUGGGAAACUGGGUCUAAUACCGGAUAGGACCAUGGACUUCACGGUUUGUGGUGGAAAGCUUUUGCGGUGUGGGAUGGGCCCGCGGCCUAUCAGCUUGUUGGUGGGGUAAUGGCCUACCAAGGCGACGACGGGUAGCCGGCCUGAGAGGGUGUCCGGCCACACUGGGACUGAGAUACGGCCCAGACUCCUACGGGAGGCAGCAGUGGGGAAUAUUGCACAGUGGGCGCAAGCCUGAUGCAGCGACGCCGCGUGAGGGAUGACGGCC
rnacentral:rRNA from 1 species